rnacentral:misc_RNA from 1 species
UUUAACAUAGAAAUUAUAGACUGUAUCAAUCUUCAAUCAAACAGAAUUACAUCCUUGUAGGCAAAGAAAUGAUCCUAAAACGAAAAGUUCACUUGUCGUCUCGUUUGUUUCGGUUUACAAAUAUUUCUUCAUCAUUUCUCUACUGCACCCAGGUCUUCGGGUCACUUGACGCAAUUACAGGGCUGGACAAUCACCGCAAGAGGAAUCGCCAGCCACUCGGACCCGGCAAUAAAGGAGCUUAAUUUAAAAUUUAAACCCUUUUUGCUGGAGGCGGCGACCGCAACGUUUCCUGUCCCAUUCCUCAGUCCCGACCCAGGAUGCACUGAUGAAAAAAAUAUUUUUUUUUGCCCUUCCGGCUGCGAGGCUCGGACGGAGAGCGAUCAAGGAGCAGGAGCGACAGCGGGAGCAGUGGCCAGGACGACAGCAGGGCAAAUAAUUUUUACAAAUUAUACGCUCACAUGCCAACUGCAAAAGGAAAGACAAACAGAAAUCGAGGAGGCAAAAAAUUAUAUAAAAGAAGCGAGAGGCAGCAAUCGGGCGAUAUCCUUGGAGAAAAGGCAAUAACAAGUCGGUUCGAUGAUUGGGUCCGCUGCCGGACUCCGACUCGAUUGACUGCACCAAUAAUAACUUCAAACAAUGGGCGGCCAAGUAGUUUUCCCCCUUUCCGAGCUCUUUUUUUUGCCAGUUCCGCAGUCGGCCAUGUUUGUUUAAUUUUUUCCACCGCUGCGUCUUGAUUCGCUUUUUUAUACGCUACUCAAGAGGGUACAUUGCUUUUGGGCACAAGUAUAGCAGCGAUGAGGAAUAGAAUAACUACACACUUUACUUAAAAGACAAAUUGUUAAGUGAAGAAUGACGUAAGUUCAUUUUAAAUUCCACAAAUCCAAACUAACUUAUGAUUAAGAAAAUUA